GGGCUCCCGGCGGGGCCCGGAUCUUGUCUGUAGGCGGCCGUUCCAGCUCCGUGUUUGUAGGGCGCGGUGGUCAGUUUCUCCACAGCCUCGCUGAACACCCGCGAGUGGAUCCCGCUUUUGCCGCGCCUGGGGGAAGCGCCGCCCUCUUCCCGCGGACCGGCUCUGCACUCAGCCCCGGGCUCCCGUGCGCUGCCCCUGCGUCUGCGACCCCCGCGAGAGCUCGGCCGGCCCCGGGGAAGGCUCCCGCGGGCACCGUCGUGGCCUUCGCGUUUGCCCUGGCCCUACAGAGUUCCUGACUUCCAGACAGCCCUCUCUUUCCUUCGCUUAGAGAACUGUUCUUUCCAGAGGUUUCAUCUCCAGCAGAAGCUCAAAGGGUACUGCUUCCCACCUGGUCACCACAAACGUACAGGACAAGGAGGACAUUUUUAUGCCUUGUGUACCCAUACCCAUUAUGAUUCCUUGAUUGUAAAAGUGGCCCUAUGUGUUCUUAAAAGCCAGGCUGUGGGAAGCUUUCCCCUGAGGCCUGGGUACCCAGCUCCCAGAAAGUGGACUGGGCCUGAGGCAUCAGAGUCUGCUCUGCCUCUCCUGUGGAUGCCUUCCCACCCUCUGUGACUCUGAUCCUCGGC
rnacentral:lncRNA from 1 species